rnacentral:rRNA from 1 species
GUAAACCUCUUUCAGCAGGGAAGAAGCGCAAGUGACGGUACCUGCAGAAGAAGCACCGGCUAACUACGUGCCAGCAGCCGCGGUAAUACGUAGGGUGCGAGCGUUGUCCGGAAUUAUUGGGCGUAAAGAGCUCGUAGGCGGCCUGUCGCGUCGGAUGUGAAAGCCCGGGGCUUAACCCCGGGUCUGCAUUCGAUACGGGCAGGCUAGAGUGUGGUAGGGGAGAUCGGAAUUCCUGGUGUAGCGGUGAAAUGCGCAGAUAUCAGGAGGAACACCGGUGGCGAAGGCGGAUCUCUGGGCCAUUACUGACGCUGAGGAGCGAAAGCGUGGGGAGCGAACAGGAUUAGAUACCCUGGUAGUCCACGCCGUAAACGUUGGGAACUAGGUGUUGGCGACAUUCCACGUCGUCGGUGCCGCAGCUAACGCAUUAAGUUCCCCGCCUGGGGAGUACGGCCGCAAGGCUAAAACUCAAAGGAAUUGACGGGGGCCCGCACAAGCAGCGGAGCAUGUGGCUUAAUUCGACGCAACGCGAAGAACCUUACCAAGGCUUG